ensembl:antisense Gm14573 predicted gene 14573
GCUCGUUGAGAUAGCGCCUCGUGUGCACCACCAGCAGGUCCUCCUCCGAGGCCUCCCGAGCCUCCACCAGCAUGCCAUCGGACAGCAGCUUCUCUUCUGGAACCACAGAACAAGACCCUGCUUCCUUUCCAGCUCUCAAGGGCCCAGCCCCGAGGCCUGCCCUUGGGCUGCAGGCUAGCCUCUGGCAGCCCCUCAGCACACAGUGAACUUGUGGGUAUGCUGAGAAUGGCUGUCUCCCUAGGCCAGUGUGGCCAGCCAUUAGGCCCUCUCUGUCCAAGGGGGUUGAACCUGAAACACACAGCAGUCUCCAUAUUUUCUGUGCUGCUGACAGCCACCAGGUGAACUCAGGUGGCUCAGGAUGGUGUGGCCUUUCUCUGCCUGAACCAAAGGAGAGCAGUGGCUCACAGGCAGCAGAAGCCAGAACUGAACAACUGCUGUUUUCAGAGCCUUG